AUUUAAAUAGUUUAAAAAAAAUUUUGAUUUGUGAAUUCAAAGAUAUAAGAAUUAUUUUAAAUU
rnacentral:tRNA from 1 species